UAUUCUGCCCUACGGGGAAGGAUGAGAAGCUUCGACUAAGGUUCGACUCGAGCGUAGCGAGAGAACGUUGCCGCAGGCAACGGCCCGAAGGGCGAGGCGCUUUAGCGCCGAGUCAUCCUUCCCCCACCGCUG
rnacentral:sRNA from 2 species